GGCACAUGGUAAUUAAUCUAAAUAUAUAGGCAUUUAGGAGGGGCUAAUAUGUCAAUCAUCUGUUGAUGCCAGUGUCCAGCUGUUAAUCACUGACCACAAGCUAAAUAGUGUGAUCUUAUAUCAUUGUAUCAUGUGUAUUGCAACAAAAGUAAUUUAUAUAACUUUGAAGUAAACAGGGAAAAGGGAAAGUUAUUAAAAAGGGAAAA
rnacentral:lncRNA from 1 species